rnacentral:rRNA from 1 species
CCAAGAAUAUUAGUCAAUGCUCGCAAGAGUGAACGAGCUAACUGAAAGAAUAUAUAAUCUAAAGUUAGGAAUCUUAUACUUAUAUUAUAAGUUUAAAGACGAAUCUAACUAACAGUGUCGUCCAAAUUCUGGUGCCAGAAGACUCGGUAAUACCAGAGACGCGAACGUUAAUCAUCUUGAAUGGGCAUAAAGGGUGUGUAGGCGGCUUAUUUAUUAAUAGGCUAGAAUCUUAUAGAGGUUAAUAAAAUACUUAGAGGAGGGCUGAUAUCCUUAGAUCCUAAGUGGAAUCCUAAUUGCGAAGGCCAUUUUCCACUACAGAUUGACGCUGAUACACGAAGGUUAGGAUAGGAACUAGGAUUAGAGACCCUAUUACCCCUAACUGUAAACGAUGAAUGGAAGAUAUUUACAACUGUAAGUGUCGAAGUGAAUACGAUAACCAUUCCGCCUUGCCAGUAUACUUGCAAAAGUGAAAACAAAAAAAUUAGUCGGUCCUAAAGCAAACGAAGUGAAGCAUGUUAUUUAAUUC